UACGAAGGGGGCUAGCGUUGCUCGGAAUCACUGGGCGUAAAGCGCACGUAGGCGGAUCUUUAAGUCAGGGGUGAAAUCCUGGAGCUCAACUCCAGAACUGCCUUUGAUACUGGGGAUCUCGAGUCCGGAAGAGGUGAGUGGAACUCCGAGUGUAGAGGUGAAAUUCGUAGAUAUUCGGAAGAACACCAGUGGCGAAGGCGGCUCACUGGUCCGGUACUGACGCUGAGACGCGAAAGCUUGGGGAGCGAACGGG
rnacentral:rRNA from 1 species